rnacentral:misc_RNA from 1 species
AGUGUGUGCUUGUGAUUUUUCUCUGUUUGUGUGCAUUCACAAGUCAGGGUUAAUCUCCAGUGGAACUUAAACAACCAUAAAAAGAAGAUACUUGCACCUACUUGCCUAGUUAAUUCCUCAAAAGUAACUCAUGUACUUAAAAGAUACCUCACUUGAGUAUCUUCUGUGUUUUCAGACUAAUAAAAUUGUAGGACAAAUGUUUUAAGGUCUAGUUUCGGGGAAAGCUGCUAGUGAUCCUGAUAUGUUCUAAUUGUGAAGGCAAGUAAAGGUGUGUGUCUAGUGAGCUGAAAUGAAUUAGCCUACCUCUUCUGUGCUUAUCUCUUCCAU